rnacentral:misc_RNA from 1 species
GAUGAAGAACGCAGCGAAAUGCGAUACUUGGUGUGAAUUGCAGAAUCCCGUGAACCAUCGAGUCUUUGAACGCAAGUUGCGCCCGAAGCCAUUAGGCCGAGGGCACGCCUGCCUGGGCGUCACACGUCGUUGCCCCCCCAUCUACUCCUUCGGGAUUGCGGGGGGAGGAUGAUGGCCUCCCGUGCGCCUCGUCGCGCGGUUGGCAUAAAUGCCAAGUCCUCGGCGACACACGCCACGACAAUCGGUGGUUGCGAAACCUCGGUUGCCCGUCGUGUGCGGUCGUCGCGCAUCGAGGGCUCGAAAAAAUUGCCGGGCUCCGGCUCGGCUUUCAACGCGACCCCAGGUCAGGCGGGGUUACCCGCUGAAUUUAAGCAUAUCAAUAAGCGGAGGA